AAGGUUUCCGUAGGUNAACCUGCGGAAGGAUCAUU
rnacentral:rRNA from 1 species